rnacentral:rRNA from 1 species
UACGUAGGGGGCUAGCGUUGUCCGGAUUUAUUGGGCGUAAAGAGCGUGUAGGCGGCCAGGUAGGUCUGGUGUGAAAACUCGAGGCUUAACCUCGAGAUGUCAUCGGAAACCAUCUGGCUAGAGUCAGGAAGAGGAGAGUGGAAUUCCUGGUGUAGCGGUGAAAUGCGCAGAUAUCAGGAAGAACACCAAUGGCGAAGGCAGCUCUCUGGGACGGUACUGACGCUGAGACGCGAAAGCGUGGGGAGCGAACAGG